rnacentral:rRNA from 1 species
CACGUAAGGGGCGAGCGUUGUCCGGAAUCACUGGGCGUAAAGGGCGCGUAGGCGGCCGUACAAGUCAGAGGUGAAAGCUAUGGGCUCAACCCAUAAAUUGCCUUUGAAACUGUGCGGCUUGAGUUCUGCAGGGGAAAGUGGAAUUCAUGGUGUAGCGGUGAAAUGCGUAGAUAUCAUGGAGAACACCUAUGGCGAAGGCAGCUUUCUGGGCAGAAACUGACGCUGAGGCGCGAAAGCUAGGGGAG